UGCAUAAUCCAUAUCGGUACCCUCUUUGCGAAAUCUGCUGAAACGGUACCUUAUUUGCACAUGCAGAGGUCAUUGCUUUUUAAAACAAACCAGCGAUGGAUAACAAUCAUGUAAAAUUUCAUUGUAAUAAGGAAAAGAGGUACAACACUUAGAAAACAUGUAAACCACGGAACACUAGAUUGUUUUAUUUAUGUGCUGAUUUGUCAUGUGCCCGUUUUUCAUGUACUGCAACUUCAUAAUAAGCUACAAAAAUCGACAUGUCUUGCCUUGUCCAUCACCUCGACAUACUUUUCGGGCUGCAAUGAACCUGUGACUUGAUUAUAAUUUUUAUAUAUGCAUUAUACAUAUUAAAUAUGUUCAUUUACAUAUCAUCUUCGGACAAAUGGCAGUAUAUAUUGUCAAAAAUAAAUGUAAAAUUCAUAAACACCCUACUUUCGGUUUUACAGCGGCACGUGCUACCUCUCUUCAUUUGAAUUUUCAUAUAACAGGUACCCUAUCAUUUUUUAACACAUAGGUACCCUCAAAGCACGACAUAUAAUUUUAUUUGCAAUAUGCUUGUAUUUUAAUCGUUAACUGUUAAGUAUGUAAUAUUUCUUACUUUUAUGUAAAAGUCUUUAGCUUAAAUUAUUUCACACUAAGUGGAGUGAUGAAUAUUGAAUUCAUAAUUAGUUACAAAUUGUAAUUUCCAUAAAUUAUGUAAAUAACAUUUGCUCAAUAGUACAUAUGAACUAACUGUAUUGGUCAGUCAUUUCUACUUAAGUUCUGUUUGGAAUGACUCAAAAAAUUGCCUCUUCUCACUUUUUUAACAUGCUUAUUAGUCAUAAUUUCUUAAGAUGUUAUUUAACUGUUAUUUUAGAAUAAAAAGAUUAAGGCCUUUACUAUCUAUUUUCAGUGGUACCAAAAAGAUGGUAAAUUGGUAGUGUUCAGUUCCGGGCAAACAUUUUCUUCAAGAGGUUCUUGUCAGAUUGAUGAAUGUGAAAUUAAGAGGACCCAUUUUGAGAAUGCUUUUAUGAAUGGAAUCCAGAGAGAUAAAGUCUAAAAUGUGAUACUGUCAAUGUGACUAACCUUGAAGUAAACAGAUGACACAAUGUUUUUUCAAUGUCAUAGGCAUAUAAUGAAGAGAAAACAGAGAUGCUUGUUUGACAGAUACAGUAAUAGUAGGAGUUAUGAGGGAAGAUAGAUUGCAGCGAUAACUAUAUUGAGGCACCACUUUAUCACCAAGAACAUGAGAUGACUUAUCAAUGUUUUCAAUGUGUUUGAACACCCAUUUUAAAUAACACAGCUCAGAGUGAAUUUUUCAAAAUAAUUAAAUCUGUUUUCAAAGUUUUUUAUUAAGAUGUAAGUUGAUCUUGUCAAGUACUUUUAUUUUUUUAGGGAUGGCAACAAAUAUAGAGGAUAUUUGUUUGUUUUGCAUGUAAGAUUGAAAUAUAAUUUCACUGAGUGAACACCAGAUGCAAUAUUUUCACGAGUGGCGUAGCCACAAGUGAAAAUAUAAUAGCUGGUGUUCACGAAUGAAAUAUAUUUCAAUCUAAUAUGUAAAACAAAUAAAUUUUCUUUUUAUUUCAUGCGUCUUAAGUGAUUUUAAGUAAUUUUUACUGAUUUUGCUUCGUAACGUCACGCAUUCUCCUUUGUGAUGUCAUCACAUCAUGAUGUCACAUCAACAAGUUUGAAAUAUCAUUCUGUUAAAUUUCUCUAAUUUUGUUACAUUUUUAACUUAAUGUAUGGUGACAUCGACUUUCUUUUACAAAAGAAGCAAAAUUUAGGCAUGACGGCAUUUAUUUUGCCUGUUAUUCCAUUCAGAUUUGAUUUUCUUUUCAUCUGCAUUCAGAUAUAGUCCGGCUACAGUGAAAAUUAUAUUUUAUAAUUUUCACUAGUGGUUUAUCAAAAUAUAAUCAUCUGAUAUAUUACAAUAAAACACUGGAAAGCAUGAAAUAAACUAAAAUCAAUAUUCGAGUACUCGGUCAUUUUUCCGAUUGAGUAUUCGGUUACUCGGAUGAUUUCCAAUGAUCUUUAAAUUUUUAUCACACAAUAUCAACACCGUCUACAUGCUACCUUCAUUUUCUAUUUUAAUUCAUAGAAUUUGUAGCUAUAAAUAGGAUUGCAAGAAAUACAUAUAAUAAAUAUAAACAUAAGAAAUGUCAAUGACAGCAUUUAUUAUAUACCUAUAAAUUUUCUUCCUAAAUCUCAGGAUAAUCUUGAAGCGCAAAUAGGCUUCAACGGUUAGAAAAUUCUGUAUUAUGUUAGAGACAAAUACAGUACCAUAUAUGGAAGGGCUGGACUAUUUUUGACCUUGGUUCUGAUCUUAGCUGUGUAUAACGUAGUAUUUGGAAACGGCAACCAAAAUAAGAAAAGGUGUGGCAGGUUUUGCACAAAUUACGUAUUCAUCUGUCAGUCAUAAAUUUAUUUCUUGACAGCUACAUUUCUUUUUCUGAAAUUUCUUAUAUAAGUGUAGUAUAAUGAAAAUCAUUUAUACUUCAAACGGAAAGGUAUAUAAUAAAAGGAAAAUUAUGUUGUAGUAGCUUUCUGAGGCUAUGC